UACGAAGGGGGCUAGCGUUGCUCGGAAUUACUGGGCGUAAAGCGCACGUAGGCGGUCUUUUAAGUCGGGGGUGAAAUCCUGGAGCUCAACUCCAGAACUGCCUUCGAUACUGGAAGACUUGAGUCCGGGAGAGGUGAGUGGAACUGCGAGUGUAGAGGUGAAAUUCGUAGAUAUUCGCAAGAACACCAGUGGCGAAGGCGGCUCACUGGCCCGGUACUGACGCUGAGGUGCGGAAAGCG
rnacentral:rRNA from 1 species